rnacentral:rRNA from 1 species
UACGUAGGGGGCUAGCGUUGUCCGGAAUCAUUGGGCGUAAAGCGCGUGUAGGCGGUCCGGUAAGUCCGCUGUGAAAGUCGGGGGCUCAACCCUCGGAUGCCGGUGGAUACUGUCGGGCUUGAGUACGGAAGAGGCGAGUGGAAUUCCUGGUGUAGCGGUGAAAUGCGCAGAUAUCAGGAGGAACACCAAUUGCGAAGGCAGCUCGCUGGGACGUUACUGACGCUGAGACGCGAAAGCGUGGGGAGCAAACAGGAUUAGAUACCCUGGUAGUCCACGCUGUAAACGAUGGGCACUAGGUGUGGGGGGUGUCGACUCCCUCCGUGCCGAAGCUAACGCAUUAAGUGCCCCGCCUGGGGAGUACGGCCGCAAGGCUAAA